rnacentral:rRNA from 1 species
CCUACGGGAGGCAGCAGUGGGGAAUAUUGGGCAAUGGACGCAAGUCUGACCCAGCAACGCCGCGUGAAGGAAGAAGGCUUUCGGGUUGUAAACUUCUUUUAAGGGGGAAGAGCAGAAGACGGGACCCCUUGAAUAAGCCACGGCUAACUACGGGCCAGCAGCCGCGGUAAUACGUAGGUGGCAAGCGUUGUCCGGAUUUACGGGGUGUAAAGGGCGGGCAGCCGGAGAGACAAGUCAGAUGUGAAAUCCACGGGCUCAACCCGUGAACGGCCUUUGAAACUGUUUCCCUUGAGUGUCGGUGAGGUCAUCGGCCUUCCUUGUGUAGCGGUGAACUGCUUAGAUAUC